CUUUUUUUUUUUUUUUUUUUUUUUUCUUUCUGCCAGGGUUUGAAUGGGAGCUACAGCUGCUGUCUACACCAGAGCCACAGCAACACCAGAUCCAAGCUGCAGCUGCAAUCUACGCUGCACCUUAUAGCAAGGUGCUGGAUUCUGAAUCCACUAAGCCAGGCCAGGGAUCAAACCAGAAUCCUCACAAAGAUAACAUUGGGUGCUUAACUCUCUGAGCUACAAAGGGAACUUUGCAUUUGCUAUUUCUUAAUUGCCUUCAGGUCAAAAUAGCUGUUACAUUAAAAAGAUAUGUGUUGGAGUUCCCGUUGCAGCACAGCGGAAACAAAUCUGACAAAGAACCAUAAGUUUGCAGGUUUGAUCCCUGGCCUUGCUCAGAGGGUUAAGGAUCUAGCGUUGCCAUGAGUUGUGGUGUCGGUGGCAGACUCAGCGUGGAUCUGGCAUUGCUUUGGCUGUGGCUGUGGCUGGCAGCUACAGCUCUGAUUUGACCCCCAGCCAUGGGUUCAGACCUAAAAAAAAAGAAUUCAACUGCAGGGAGUUCCUGUUGUGGCUCAGUAGGUUAAGAACCCGACAUAGUGUCUGUGAGGAUGUGGGUUCCAUUCCUCAGUGGGUGGAUCCAUUGUUGACCCAAGGUGUGGAGUAUAGCUCUCGGAUGGGGCUCAGAUCUGUCGUUGCUGCGAGUGUGGCAUCAGCUCCAGAUGCUGCUCCAAUUCCACCCUUAGCACAGAAACUUCCAUAAGCUGCAGGUGCAGCCCUAAAGAGAAAACAAAAAGAAUCCAACCACAGUGGUUUGGUUUGCUGCGAAGGCCCAAGAUGAAUACCUGGCCCAGCACAGCAGGUUAAAGGAUUCAGUCCCUGGCCUGGGAACUUCCAUAUGCCGCAGCUGCUGCUGACGACUAUACCACAGCCACAGCAAUGCCAGAUCAGAGCCUCAUCUGAGACCUACAUCAAAGCUCAUGGCAACACUGGAUCCUUAACCCACUGAUCGAGGCCAGGGAUCGAACCUGCAUCCUCAUGGAUACUAGUCCGGUUCUUAACCCGCUGAGUGACAAUGGGAAUUCUUAGAUAUCCCUUUCUUAUAAUGAGCAGUGACGCCACCUAACACUGUCCUUAGAUGAUUAUCUACAACUAACUAUUAAAAUACUUUUGGUCUCAAGGACCAGACCUCACCAAGUCUUUGGGGAAUUAAAUGAGAAAAGCAUGUCUAGCACCCAGACAGAGCAGAUAUGGCAAAUAUGUGUUCCUCUUUUUGCCUUCCCUUCCCCUGGACUGUGGUGGAUACGCAGAAAUGGAGGAUGAGACAGAAAGCAAGCUGUCCUAAGGAGAACUGGGAUGUGGGGAUCUGUGAUUCUGAGUCCUUUUCCCACUACGCACACAACUUGCCCGAGUCCCCACAAUCUCCCUUUACCCUACUGCCCGAAAACAUUCUUCCUUGUGGCCACCUCCCUACCUCUUUCUCCACUUGUUCUUAGCUACCUACCAGUAGAUAUUCAUAGACUUCCCUAAAUAGGCAGGCGAGUUACUCACGGAUAAAGGACCCUGCUAUUUCUCCUUGCUGCCUUGAAAUCCCAGCCUCUACCCUUCUCACAAGGUACUGGUAGUAUCACCAAACUGAACUUGGGUCCACACACCCAACAUAUAGCAAAGCCAAUCUACUGGCAUUAUUAUGGCAGCUGCCCAGCAGCCCCGAGGCCGAAGUGUACCAGCUCUGGUGACAGCCCUGUGGCUGUAGUGUACCAGCUCCAGCAGCUCUUUUACCCAGCAAGAAACCAAGCAAGCAUUCGGAGAGUUGGAGAACCUGGGCUUAUUACACCGGUGGGUUCAGAGGAGAUCGCUCUCCGGAGUCUGAGCCCCAAAGAAGGGUUUCACAAGGCUUUUAUGGCCUAGCUCUUCCGGGUCUGUGCUUGGCGGACCAGCGUGGGGACAGGCAAGGUAGUAGAUGCAGAAGCAAGUUUACAGAAGCAGAUGCGUGGGGGCGGGGUGGUUGGGGCAGAUGGCCGGACUUUGCUUAGUCAUCAUGGCCGGGGUCUGUCCUUUCUAGCUUUUUAUCGGGACAUUUCUCCUACAGCAUAGGUUGUGGUAAAAGUUUAUUUCAGGGUGCUAAGCAAGGAGAACAGGCACUUCAUGCUCAGCACCCAAACUCCCGGAUGGAGUUCAGAGAAAGCUAAUUUAUUUUUUAUUUUAUUUUAUUUUUUGUCUUUUUAGGGCCGCACCUGCAGCAUAUGGAGGUUUCCAGGCUAGGGGUUUAAUCGGAGUUGUAGCUGCUGGCCUAUGCCAGAGCCACAGCAACGGGGGAUCCAAGCCACGUCUGCAACCUAUACCACAGCUCACGGAACGCUGGAUCCUUAACCCACUGAGCGAGGCCAGGGAUCAAACCCGAAACCUCAUGGUUUUUAGUCGGAUUCAUAUCCACUGCGCCAAGCCAGAAACUCCAGAGAAGUGUUUUUUAAAGUCAACAUUUGUGGCAAGUGUUGCAGCUCAUUGACUUUCUUCCGAUUGGUUUGUGGUGAGGUCAUGGGGUGGUAUUUCAGGAAUCUUAAUCAUCAACCUUCUCCUUCCAGCCAGUCUGGGGUCCACAAGAUUGUGGUCUGCAAGUAGUUACCACCCUCUGUCUGGGUGGGGGCCUUCGUUUCUGCAGAACAACUCAAAGUUUGCAUCAGACCCCUGUGUAUAUUCUUUGAGGAGGAAGUAGGGCUGUCUUAUCAGCAGAACUAUUGUUUCUUGACUGCUUUUUCUUUGUCCCACAUUCCCUCACUUCCCUAAUUAGCAAUUGUUUUGAGUCUGUUCUUCGGAAGUUCUAGGAGACUAAAGCCUUUGCCUACAAAUAAGAAACAGGGGACACAGAGGAGACUUUGUACCUGGGAGGGCCCCUGCGGGAUCCUGCUUGGUUUCCCUUUUUUUUGAUACUCCUCAACCCUGGAUGGAACAGGUCAAGACAACAAAGGGAAUACAGAUUUGAAUAGAGGUUAACCAGAAACUCCACGGGGAACUCGGUUUUAGGGGAGCUCAGUUUCAGUAGUUCUAGUUAGUCUCUUCGAGCAAAAACCAACUGCAUGCCUCAAAACAGGCUCUGUGGCAAUUUCUUCUAAAGUUAAACUUAUAUUUACCCCAUGACUCAGCCAUUCCAUUCCUAGUAUUACCCAGGAGAAAU
rnacentral:lncRNA from 1 species